rnacentral:rRNA from 1 species
GACGGAGGGUGCUAGCGUUGUUCGGAAUCACUGGGCGUAAAGGGCGCGUAGGCGGCUUCAGGUGUCGGAUGUGAAAGCCCGGGGCUCAACCCCGGAGGUGCAUCCGAAACUCUGAGGCUGGAGGCCGGAAGAGGAGGGUGGAAUACCCAGUGUAGAGGUGAAAUUCGUAGAUAUUGGGUGGAACACCGGUGGCGAAAGCGGCUCUCUGGUCCGGUCCUGACGCUGAGGCGCGAAAGCGUGGGGAGCAAACAGG